rnacentral:rRNA from 1 species
ACUCCUACGGGAGGCAGCAGUGGGGAAUAUUGCACAAUGGGGGAAACCCUGAUGCAGCCAUGCCGCGUGUGUGAAGAAGGCCUUCGGGUUGUAAAGCACUUUCAGUAGGGAGGAAGGUAGUGUAGUUAACACCUGCAUUAUUUGUACGUUACCUACAGAAGAAGCACCGGCUAACUCCGUGCCAGCAGCCGCGGUAAGUACGGAGGGUGCGAGCGUUAAUCGGAAUUACGUGGGCGUAAAGCGCAUGCAGGCGGCCUGUUAAGUCAGAUGUGAAAGCCCGGGGUCGUUAACCUCGGAAUUGCAUUUGAAACUGGCAGGCUAGAGUCUGUAGAGGGGUUAGAAUUUCAGGUGUAGCGGUGAAAUGCGUAGAGAUCUGAAGGAAUACCGAGUGGCGAAGG